CUCUGGCCGCGUUAAGAUGUGGCUACUUCCCUUCGCGUUCUACCUCGAUUGAAAAUUUUCUGAGGCCUCCGUAGCCAUGCUUCCCGUACAGCUGUGGAACCGUUACCCCUGAGAAAAGUCAUCUGAAAAUGGGAAAUGGACCUGGACAGGAAUAAGCAGAGCAUGCUUGGAGCCAUCAUUUAUUUAGCAGCUUUGUUAAACAGAAAGGGGUCUGUCCUGCGUGUGCAGUCUUUGGAUUUAAAAUUAUGGAAAUUCUUCAGGCAGAAAAUGGGCACAUAUGGUUAUCACAGAAAAGCUGUUUUAAAGCCAGUUUUAAGGUAUUAUUAUGCCGCUACCUUCAAGAAGUAAUUUGCGUGCUGUUUAUUGGAGCUGUGAAUUUAAUCAUCUCAAUCCCACGCUAUUACAGGAUGACUAUAAGAAGAUGUAUUGACAUUUCUUUGGACACAUAAUUUUGCCUCCAUUGUGUGUUGUUUUGCCAGAAUACUGAAGGCAGUGUUUGUAUGAUGGCACAUCCAAAUAAAAAGCAGGUCCUCCUUUUGGGACAGUGAUC
rnacentral:lncRNA from 1 species